CAAUAGCGUAUAUUAAAGUUGCUGCAGUUAAAAAGCUCGUAGUUGGACCUUGGACCUGGACAGGCGGUCCGCCUCACGGCGUGUACUGUCUUGCUGGGUCUUUCCUCUUGGUGAUCUGUUGUUUCGGCAGCAGGGAACCAGGACUUUUACUUUGAAAAAAUUAGAGUGUUCAAAGCAGGCUCGACGCCGGAAUAUAUUAGCAUGGAAUAAUAAAAUAGGACGUGCGGUUCUAUUUUGUUGGUUUUUGGAAUCGCCGUAAUGAUUAAUAGGGACAGUCGGGGGCAUUAGUACUCACAUGCUAGAGGUGAAAUUCUUGGAUUUUGUGAAGACUAACUUCUGCGAAAGCAUUUGCCAAGGAUGUUUUCAUUAA
rnacentral:rRNA from 1 species